AUUGAACGCUGGCGGAAUGCUUUACACAUGCAAGUCGAACGGCAGCACGGGGCAACCUGGUGGCGAGUGGCGAACGGGUGAGUAAUACAUCGGAACGUGCCCAAUCGUGGGGGAUAACGUAGCGAAAGUUACGCUAAUACCGCAUACGAUCUACGGAUGAAAGCGGGGGAUCGCAAGACCUCGCGCGAAUGGAGCGGCCGAUAUCAGAUUAGGUAGUUGGUGGGGUAAAGGCUCACCAAGCCAACGAUCUGUAGCUGGUCUGAGAGGACGACCAGCCACACUGGAACUGAGACACGGUCCAGACUCCUACGGGAGGCAGCAGUGGGGAAUUUUGGACAAUGGGCGCAAGCCUGAUCCAGCCAUUCCGCGUGCAGGAUGAAGGCCUCGGUUGUAACUAGCUUUGUACGGUAACGAAACGGCGAGCUCUAAUACAGUUGUCUAAUGACGGUACCGUAACGAAUAAGACACCGGCUAACUACGUAGCCAGCAGCCGCGGUAACG
rnacentral:rRNA from 1 species